rnacentral:rRNA from 1 species
AGUGAACGCUGGCGGUAGGCCUAACACAUGCAAGUCGAACGGCAGCACAGUAAGAGCUUGCUCUUACGGGUGGCGAGUGGCGGACGGGUGAGGAAUACAUCGGAAUCUACUUUUUCGUGGGGGAUAACGUAGGGAAACUUACGCUAAUACCGCAUACGACCUACGGGUGAAAGCAGGGGAUCUUCGGACCUUGCGCGAUUGAAUGAGCCGAUGUCGGAUUAGCUAGUUGGCGGGGUAAAGGCCCACCAAGGCGACGAUCCGUAGCUGGCCUGAGAGGAUGAUCAGCCACACUGGAGCUGAGACACGGUCCAGACUCCUACGGGAGGCAGCAGUGGGGAAUAUUGGACAAUGGGCGCAAGCCUGAUCCAGCCAUACCGCGUGGGUGAAGAAGGCCUUCGGGUUGUAAAGCCCUUUUGUUGGGAAAGAAAAGCAGCAGGUUAAUACCCCGCUGUUCUGACGGUACCCAAAGAAUAAGCACCGGCUAACUUCGUG